GGACCCUCUUUGGCAGCACAUAAGCUAACAUUGGAACAACACAGAGAAGUUUAGCAUGGCCCCUGUGCAAAAAUGAUGUGCAAAUUUGUGAAGCCAGCAGUAUUUUU
ensembl:snRNA U6 U6 spliceosomal RNA